ensembl:lncRNA
UGAGAUAAGCUAGGUUAUCUUUUUCCACUCUUACUCACUUGCUUUGCUGAUAAAGAAAGGGGGUUCUUUUGUCACUUAGGGCAAAAGUGGACAUGGCCUGGCAGAAUCUGUCCUUUUCUACCCUUUGGUGCUCGGACUGGCCCAUGCUGCCCCUUUUACCUGGCAGUGAAGGACAACUCACCUGUUUUGUUUUAUUUGUUCCUCAUUACUGACGGCUGUUUCAGUGGAGUUAAAGGAGUCUUUGGAAAAGCAGUAGUAAAAGACGUUUGCUGUUUCACCUCCAAGUAAAAUGCAUUCAGAGGAAAGACUGACCUUGUUGGUGACAGGAAACAAAGUGGAACUGUGUGGACACUCAAGUGUGCAGCUGCUGAGGUGGCGUACUGACAGCGAGGUCUCUAUAGGCAUGGCUGAAGUGAUUUUAACUACAGGGGAAACAGUGGAAAUAUUGAAAUAAGCCAUAUAAAGCAACUCCUGGCAUAGCUGACGCUCAGUUGGGUGUGGAAAUGGACAGCUAACCAUGGCCUCCUGGCUCUGCAUGUCCUUUUGAUUCCCAGUACGAUUCAGGAACUGGAGAUGAUAUGGCGAGGGAGCUGGGGUUCAGGAGCAGCUAAAUAGAUAAGAUGAACUGUGGAGUAUAGAGAGGAGAAAAUGGGUGGAGGAGGUGGGGCACGAACUGAGUUCUUCUGCUAGGAAAGCGAGGAGAAAGGAGUUUCUCCAAUUAAAAAAAAAAAAGAGCAUUCACUUAUGAAAACAGCCAGCUUAAUUUCCUUUAUUCAGGAGAGCUGAGAAUGAUUACAAAUGAAAAUGAUCACUAGUAUUCUCCACUGUCUUGUACUGUGACACUGUGAACUUUUUGAUGGUGAUGUUGAGAACUCCCUUCUGGAUGUUAUCAUUUAUGGUGUAUCUUCCUUUUUCAGUGUUAUUCUCAGAGGCGCUGGUCAUCUUUUCUGUACUGACCAGGACACUCGGCAGAGACAUUCUCCGUCUCCCUCGUUGCAUAUCCUUGGGUUUCUGGAUAAGGUCAAACCGGUUAGUAAUGUUCAGAGCAUGUGCCUGUUCUUGAAGAGGAAACUGCACCCUGUGUGACUUGGCUCCUGGGCCUGGAGAAGCCAGAAUCUCUAUGUAAUAGGAACUGGAGUUGACCGUCUUCCUUUCCCAGCAGGGCAGGGAAAUUCUCCAUCUGAAAAGAAACUUGGUUUUGUGGUUAAACUUUCAGGAACUUCUUCUUCUAAUGCUGAAAUACUAUGCA